rnacentral:lncRNA from 1 species
GACAAUUCCAUAAAGGAAAUCAGAGAGAAACUGCAGAUGGCACGCUUAGAAAUGAAGUCAGGGAAGAUGCCUCUGAGGCGGCCAUGGGAGAGCGGUUAUCCAACGGCUGAGAAGAAGCUGCUGUGAGAAGGACUGGAGAGGAGCACCUCAGGACUAAGGAGUAAGUGCCAAGGCCUGGAGGUGGCAAAGGCCCAAAGGGAUUUUCAUUUCCAAGAAAUCAAAACCCAGAGAGAGCCUUUGAUGGGUUUUAAAUUUGGAAGUGACAUGAUCUGAUUUUUUGUUUUUUCUCUUGCUAUGGAAAGGAAAUCUAUUGGAAUUUGGCAAGACUGGCAGAAGAAGACCAGUGAGGGUUCCAUUCCUGCCAUCCAGGUGAAAAAUGACGUCAUUGGACUGGGAGCAUCCAGCUUGCUUGCCCUUCUGCCUCCCACCAUGUGGAUGAAGGUUCUUCCCCUCUGGAAGAUGCAGCAGUAUGGCGCCAUGUUGGAAGCAGAGAGCAGCCCUCACCAGACAACCAAACCUGCCAGCUCCUUGAUCUUAGACUUAGCCUCCAGAAUUGUGAGAAAUAAAUUUCCGGUUGUUAUAAGUUACCCAGCCUGUGGCAUUUUUUUAUAGCGGCACUUACACAGACCACAGACCAGCCUCCCUCCACCUGGGCACAGGCACCUCCAUGCCAAUGUUUCUGAAGAAGCCAUUAUAAAAUCUUCAUAUUGAUGCUCAUGUUCUACCAAAUGGAAGUCUAUGGCUUCUAGAAUCUUAGGUGUAUCUUAGUGACAAGCUUUUAAUUCACUUUAAAAAUGUGAACAACCAUUUGUAUUAUUAGCAAAAUCUCUUUCUUAAAAGUUUCCAAAUGUCUACCCCUUUUCAUAUAAAAAAUAGGCCUUCUUUUCAGGAGAGAGGGAAAUCUUUCUUUGUUAUAAUACAUGAGUAUUGGCAUGAGUCAUGGAAAGGGCUUGAAUAAUUUGCAGACACGAUGCUAUUGAGUCAUCGUGAAUGAUACAAGGCCACUUGAAUACUGAUGAAGUUAAAUCCUUUAUAAUAAGAAGAAAUAAAAAUACUACUACUUUUUUAUUUUAUAAAGCUCAGUUUCACUUUUAUCCUAGAAGAAACACUGAGGCUAGAUAGCAACAAUUGUCAUUCAUGGAUGAGGAAGCUUAUUCCCUAAGAAGCCAAAUGGGAUCUUCAGCAGACAGAAAGAAUUGGAAGUGGGGCCCGGCGCGGUGGCUCAAGCCUGUAAUCCCAGCACUUUGGGAGGCCGAGGCGGGUGGAUCACGAGGUCAAGAUAUCGAGACCAUCCUGGUCAACAUGGUGAAACCCCGUCUCUACUAAAGAUACAAAAAAUUGGCUGGGCACGGUGGCGCGUGCCUGUAAUCCCAGCUACUCAGGAGGCUGAGGCAGGAGAAUUGCCUGAACCCAGGAGGCGGAGGUUGCGGUGAGCCGAGAUCGCGCCAUUGCACUCCAGCCUGGGUAACAAGAGCGAAACUCUGUCUCAAAAAAAAAAAAGAAUUGGAAGUGUAACACGGAGUUGAACACAAGUAUUGCCUCUCCUUAUCCAACAGGUUCCUUUUUCUACCACAAAAGGUAAAAUAUUAUAUUAAAAACCAAACUGUCCCAAUUGUGAUAAACAUCCUCAAGGAUCUUGUGAUUCUAAAGGUUUUAAGCUAUAUGACUGACAGGGUUUGAUGGGUACAUUGGAAUGCCUGUGAUUUAUUAUAUAAUUUAAGUGCCCAUCUGUGCAUCCGCGCAAAGACAUAGCUGAUGAAAAUAUCAGCUGUCCAGCUGUUUUCUCUGCGCCAUAAAGGUCAUGAGGAUUGCUUCUCUGGCUGCCAUCACCACUCUAACAACCCCACCUUCUGUCACAGGGACGUUUCACAUUUCCCUACUCUCCUGAAAAAGCAAGGACAACAACACUGGUCCUUAAUUCUGAAGAAGAUCCCAGCUAUUUUCCAGGCUAGCUGAAAAUUCAUGAUCCUUGACGUUAGUUAAAGAAGUCAUCCUCUCACCCUCUGUGUCACUGUGACUCCCCUUCCAGCUAGCUAGCCUGGGACAUGGAGGGGCUGUUGUCUGGCCUAGUCUCCUGCACUGAAUUUCUGCUUCCUUACACUUACGCUUCCAACCUUUACAAGAAUAAAUAAAUUAUGCAACACCAAAAACAGGAGGCACAAUGUUACCUUCCCACCUUCCAGGAGUUGCUUAGCUGCUUAUCUGUUCUCCAUGGCUCUGGAGUCAUUGACAAGUGUCAUGACUGUAAGACAGCAGCAAACUUAGCAAUAAUUUCCAAUGGGUCCUGUUUUGUUUUAAUAUGAUUCACUUGAACCCUACGGUCCUUAGCAACCCUACUUACUAUCCUUUCCAUUGAGAUAGCUACUCACCAAGUAUCGGGGUUAUGGUAGAUACUCAAUAUAUAAGUAUGAACAAAAGAGAACGCUGAACAAGAGAGUGAGUGGUUGACUGGUAAGUAGGAUCAGAAGAAAGGAUUGCAAAUACAUAAGCUAUUUACUUAAUAUGCCAUAGACACAAUGGGGAUUCAAACUCCAUACUACAUUCAUUGCCUACAACAGUAAUUUAGACACACAUCAGAAAAUCAAGGAGCUGUGAUGAGGUUGACAUCAAACAUUAAUUUCAUAGCUAUUGAUCCCUUUAUAUGUCUUUCAAAGCCAUAAGUAGCAAUUAUAACCCAAGGGCAAACAGCAAAAUAGUACCCUCAAAUCAGUAGCAUGGGGAAGAAAGGAGAGAGAGGGUAGGCAUCCUGCAGGGAUUCAGAGGUUUCCUGAUCCUGACUUCUGGUCCCCAAUUCCAUCAUCUCAGCUGGCUGCCAACGGGACUGGCCCAGGGACCCAGACAGAUUUGCUACCCUGAUUUGUCUGGGGGAGGCCAAGUACUGAGUGGCUUAAAACCAUGUGCAACUUUUAAAAAUAAUUAUUCCAGAAAUAUUGGCCGGGUGCAGUGGCUCACACAUGUAAUUCCAGCACUUUGGGAGGCCCAAGUGAGCAGAUCACCUGAGGUCAGGAGUUCACAACCAGCCUGGGCAACAUGGUGAAACCCCAUCUCUACUAAAAACACAAAAAAUUACCCAAGCAUGGUAACUCUUGCCUGUAAUCCCAGCUACUCAGGAGGCUGAGGCCAUAUAAUUGCUUAAUCCCAGGAGACAGAGGUUGAAGUGAGCCGAGAUCGCUCCAUUGUGCUCCGGCCUGGACAACAGACAAUACAUAUGUGUAGAUAUAGGAAAAAUUCGCCUAAAACAAUACAUAUGUGUAGAUAUAGGAACCCUUUCAAUAUCAGUGUGUCAGAGGGCCUCACAUUCUAGUUUUGAAAUCUGAGUUUUUACCUAAAAACUGUGAAUGCCCUGAGAACAACCCCUAAAUGCUAUCCAUAUUGUAAGUAAUUAAAAAAAAAAGGACAGGUCCUAUAUACUAUGCAAACAAUCAGUACUUUAUUAACAUUGAAACUCAUCACUAGUAAUCAUAUGGAUUUUCAGGAACAAAGGUUCCUCUCCGCAAUUCAUUCAGAAAAAAUAUAUACACCGACAAGGAGAUUUUAAGUAAAGUCAAGCAACAGAAGACAGCUCGAUUUUCUUUGCAGGAUUCUAGUCUCAGUUUCUCUGACCC